rfam:Pediococcus argentinicus strain DSM 23026 Scaffold6, whole genome shotgun sequence.
UUAUAACUGAAUAAUUUACCUAAGACUCAGGUGGUCUUGUUAGACCUUAAUAUUACCUGCCGAGGAACGUAUAAAAUUUAUCCGUGUCCUCGUAUGAGAACACGGAUUUUUUGUUCUUACA